GCUCCAGACUCCUACGGGAGGCAGCAGUGGGGGAUAUUGCACAAUGGGGGAAACCCUGAUGCAGCGACGCCGCGUGGGCGAAGAAGUAUUUCGGUAUGUAAAGCCCUAUCAGCAGGGAAGAAGAAAUGACGGUACCUGAGUAAGAAGCACCGGCUAAAUACGUGCCAGCAGCCGCGGUAAUACGUAGGGGGCAAGCGUUAUCCGGAUUCACUGGGCGUAAAGGGAGCGCAGGCGGCACGGCAAGUCUGGUGUGAAAACCCGGGGCUCAACCCCGGGACUGCAUUGGAAACUGCCGGGCUGGAGUGUCGGAGGGGUAAGCGGAAUUCCUAGUGUAGCGGUGAAAUGCGUAGAUAUUAGGAGGAACACCAGUGGCGAAGGCGGCUUACUGGACGAUGACUGACGCUGAGGCUCGAAAGCGUGGGGAGCAAACAGGAUUAGAUACCCCAGUAA
rnacentral:rRNA from 1 species